ensembl:miRNA
GCCUGCUGCUGCUACUGAGCCUCUCCUUGCUGUUGGGCUUCCUGCAAGGUAAGCUUCUGGGGGCAUGCUGAAGGAUAGUGA